rnacentral:rRNA from 1 species
UUCCUACGGGGGGCAGCAGUGGGGAAUAUUGCACAAUGGGGGAAACCCUGAUGCAGCGACGCCUCGUGAGUGAAGAAGUAUUUCGGUAUGUAAAGCUCUAUCAGCAGGGAAGAAAAUGACGGUACCUGACUAAGAAGCCCCGGCUAACUACGUGCCAGCAGCCGCGGUAAUACGUAGGGGGCAAGCGUUAUCCGGAUUUACUGGGUGUAAAGGGAGCGUAGACGGCAUGGCAAGUCCGGAGUGAAAGCCCGGGGCUCAACCCUGGGACUGCUCUGGAAACUGUAAAGCUGGAGUGCGGGAGGGGG